GAAUCUGCCUGCAAAGCAGGAGACCCAGGUUUGAUUCCUGGGUCAGGAAGAUCCCCUGGAGAAGGGAAAGGCUACCCACUCCAGUAUUCUGACCUGGAGAAUUCCAUAGUCCAUGGGGUCACAAAGAGUCAGACACAACUGAGCAACUUCCACUUCGCUUGCAUAUAUACGCACCAUGAAGUCUUUAUUCAUCCACCAAGGGACACUCGGUUGUGUCCAUGUCUUGUGAGUAAUGCUGCAGCAAACACAAGUAUGCAAAUAUAUCUUCAAGAUCCUGAUUUCUAUUCUGGUGGAUUGGCUCAAAUUAAGCGAGAAUGGAUGACUAUUUCGUCAUGGCAAAAGAAUAGUCUCAGAACUCACAUCUGGAUGUGGUCAUUCCCAUGUACCAGGCCAUAGGCUCAGCUUCCUUCCUGGGUUUGUUAGUUCCACACCCCAACGCCCUGCAAAAACACCGAUCAACACCUGACAGAGGAAAAGGAAACUAAUCUGUGAAGAAGUUGACUCUGCUUUCCUUUGCACUAACUUUGAGAAGUAUAUUUAACUACUUACUUAGCAUAUCUAUAACCAGAUUGUGACGAUAAGAAAGAACUGCUGUAACAUCUGUUCGUAAG
ensembl:lncRNA